rnacentral:tRNA from 1 species
AAAAAGAUAAGCUAAACUAAGCUACUGGGUUCAUACCCCAAUUAUGGAAGCGAGACCUCCUCUUUUUA